GCCGGGUGUGGUGGUGUGCACCUGUAAUCCCAGCUACUCAGGAGGCUGAGGCAGGAGAAUCGCUUGAACCCAGGCGGCAGAGGUUGCAGUGAGCCAAGAUGGCCCCACUGCACUCCACCCUGGGUGACAGAGUGAGACACUGUCUCAA
rfam:Gorilla gorilla gorilla genomic chromosome, chr5, whole genome shotgun sequence